UGACAGUGGGAGUAGCCUCGGGAAACCGGGAGUUAAUACCGCAUAAAAUACGUAGAAACAACAUGUUUCAACGGUCAAAGAUUUAUCGGUCAUAGAUGGGCUCGCGUCUGAUUAGCUAGUUGGUGAGAUAACAGCCCACCAAGGCGACGAUCAGUAGCCGGUCUGAGAGGAUGAACGGCCACAUUGGAACUGAGACACGGUCCAAACUCCUACGGGAGGCAGCAGUU
rnacentral:rRNA from 1 species